UGAGGAAUAUUGGACAAUGGGCGCAAGCCUGAUCCAGCCAUGCCGCGUGCAGGAAGACUGCCCUAUGGGUUGUAAACUGCUUUUAUACAGGAAGAAACACCCCGACGUGUCGGGGCUUGACGGUACUGUAAGAAUAAGGAUCGGCUAACUCCGUGCCAGCAGCCGCGGUAAUACGGAGGAUCCAAGCGUUAUCCGGAAUCAUUGGGUUUAAAGGGUCCGUAGGUGGAUAAUUAAGUCAGGGGUGAAAGUCUGCAGCUCAACUGUAGAAUUGCCUUUGAUACUGGUUGUCUUGAGUUAUUAUGAAGUAGUUAGAAUAUGUGGUGUAGCGGUGAAAUGCAUAGAUAUCACAUAGAAUACCAAUUGCGAAGGCAGAUUACUAAUAAUAUACUGACACUGAUGGACGAAAGCGUGGGGAGCGAACAGGAUUAGAUACCCUGGUAGUCCACGCCGUAAACGAUGGUUACUAGCUGUUCGAACCUCGGUUGGAGUGGCUAAGCGAAAGU
rnacentral:rRNA from 1 species